UCGGGGAACUAAGAUCCCUCAAGCCACGUGGCUCAGCCAAAAAAAAAGAUCAUGAACAUUUUCUCAAGCCAUAAGUAUUCCUGUGCAAUCGCAUUUUAAGGAUCAUACUGUAAUCCACCACAUGGUUUAAAUGAGUUAAUACCAAUAAAGCCCUUGAAACAAUGAGUGGUAAGCACUUAGUAUAUCUUAACAAUUAUUAUAAUAUGGAUAUGUGUAUAAACUAUAUGAAUAAUUUAAUCAGCCCUUUAUUAUUGGACUUGAGGGUUGUUUUCACUAAUAUAAAUAAUGCUCCAGUGUUCAUCCUUGCAGACAAAUGUGUACUCAUGGUUCUGAUUUCCUCAGGAUGUAUUUAUUCCUAGUUGUAGAAUGGCUGAGUCACAGAAUAUGUAGCUUUUCUGUUUAUCAACACAGAUUCCUUUACCAAUUUACAUUUGCUCUAGGCUGCUAAAAUAUUUUUUUCUCUCCCAAUAAGUCUGGGUUUGAAGCUAGUUUCUCCCCUGAGAUUGAGGGGUGCUAUGACAGAUAAAAACACGACCACCCCAUUUUAUGACAGGAGCUGGAAGGUGAACAAGAGGCUAAACAGGAGCCCACGUAACCAGUAAUGAAGCCGUGAGUAAAGUGCCUGACUCGGCUUCAUCUCAGUUUCUUGACCUGUAAACUGAUUUCAGCAACACCUACAACUCUUAACUUUGAUGAGAGGAUUAAAUGAGAUGACCAAGUCUCUUCCUACGGUGUUGAGCACAUAGGAAGGGCUCACACAUGGCAGCAGUCAUUAGCAGAUAGGGAAGCAAUAGUUAGUAGUGGCUCCACAGCAACAUCGGAGGCACUCGAUAGAUUUAUGAAUGCUAACCUAAGGGGCAUAGACUUGCACUAUAGAGCGUGAGGAUCCAUUAGAGUUUUCGGUACAGGGACCAGCAUGCCUAAGCCAGGGCUGUGGGGACUGGACCCAGCAGGCUGAGGGGUGGACUGGGGCAGUGGCACCUGGAGGCCAGUCCAGAGGUCACUGGAACUGUCCAGCGGGGACUGUUCACAUCAGAGAUUUUUGCCUGAUGCAUAUUAAAAGCAAUUAUUUCCAAUAUUUGUUUUGUGAGCAGGAGAGAUGACAAGCUCUAAAGCCCAGCAUUUCUGUGUUGUUUUUACUUAAAAUCCAUUGGUCAAUUAAGAAUAGUGUGUGCUCUGGCACAACAUGGGAAUGUACUUAAUACCCCUGAACUGUAUACUUAAAAUGGUUAAGAUGGUAAAUUUUAUGUUAUGUACAUUUUACCACAAUUUAAAAUAAUUUAAAAAAAUAGUUUAAAAAAAAAAGGACUCAGUUCAUAGUUAGAACAAGGGUCAGGGCAGCAGGAAAAAAAAUAUGGACAAUAUCUGAUGGGGGUGGCCACAUGUCGCCCUCUUUUGGGACAGUAGCAAAUGAUAAGGAAGAAGGGCCAUGGGCAUGACGGUGGCCUAAUAGUCACAAGUCUUGGAUUUAAAUCAUGGUUCUGAAUUUAAUCUGUGAACUUGAACUGAUCACUGUAACCAUUAUAAGUAAGCUUCAGCAGCCUCCUCUGUAGAAGGGAGAUAACAGGACCAGAUCUCCCUGCUUAAGGGAUGAAGCAGAGAUCAAACCAGACUGAAAUCAAAUAAGUAAUAAGCUCUGAGUUGUCCCCAUUUUGUAAACUUUCAGUUCUACACUCCAGGCAGAUUCAAGAUGCUGCUGAAGUAAGCUCCUGUUAUGAACUUGAAAAUAUUAAGUCGCAGUUCUGAUCCUACCAGUGUCAUGGGAUUUCAUCUCAGGGCUUGGGAUGCUUUAUAUCAAACUGUGGUGGGAGGAGAUGCAGACAUGGAAGGAAACAGCAUCUGUCUGCACAUUCCCUUUUCCCCUCCAACUUCCACGUAUUCAGUAAAGGAAUCUGACUGCUCCAAAAGGUCACACUCUGUCUUGUUCUAUUACAGCAGGUCAUGUCAGAAGUGGCUGUUCCACGCUGCAGUUGAUAAAUUGAUAUUUAAUAGUUUUCCAUGUCUUUUAAGGGUUUUAUAAUGGAAACAAAUAAAUGUAAUAUAUGGAAGUAUAUGUACAAAAAAUAAAUAAAAUAAUAGUGUGUGCCUCUUUUGGAAGUGGAGUUUAAGAAUGUGAGCUCCGUUACUGCUGGGUCUGAUAUCAAUAAUGCUCUGCUUAACUCAUGGCCCAUGGUUUAGAAAUAAGCAUAAAGGAUCCUUGACACAGGACGGAUGGCUCUUGGUUACUUGGCAGCUGGUCAUCCCGUUUACAGACGAUUAUUUUUCGACCCUCCUUCCAUCUUUUCUCAGCCAGUUCUCUCAGUUAACAUAUACAUCAAAGUAGAGGAAGGGAGAAAAGAUGAAAAAUCAUGUCAUGUUACAAGCACUACCUCCAGCGAGGGUUAUAUAAGAUUAGCGGAUUGACAUCAUUGGAUACUAUGUCAAUUAUUUGUAUUGUUCAGAGCCCCCAUUCAGACAGAAAACACUGAGGUAGCUUCAGUCUCCAUCUUGGCAAUCUGGAAGGAUGACGUUUCUCUCAGCAUGCACCAGGGAUGGCUAAUGGUCCAUGUGAACAAGUCAGGAGUUAAUUCUAUUGCAAUAUUAAUGAUUAUGACUUAGUUUUGGUUUGGGCUUGAAUUAAUAAUUCAUUCAUCAUUGCUUGACUGUUUGAAUGUGGCCAAUUCUCCAACUGAGUCCUCGGCUCACACACAAAUGUCUGUUGCAGGGGGUUCCCAGGCCGGCUUCUGCAUUGUCAGUGCUUCCCGGGGGAAUCAAAGACCCCUAGAUCCACACUCUGCCUUCAGAGGCCUGAGUUGGGGCCUUGUUUUGGUGACUGGUUUGGACUUCUGUGACUAAUGGAUUUACUCUUUGGUUCUUCGGGCUCUGUGGAUUUUGGUGACCUCUACAAUGGGAGUUGUGAGAUUUUCUCUGUCAACCUUAGUUCCACAGCUUCCUUACAGACUUAACUGUGUUUCCACCUCCUCCAUUUUUCCCAACACAUGAUGUAUUUAUGAGAAAGCAGAUGUCAUCUCAUUUGUGCCUCACGAAACGCUGCACCAGGCAGCUCCUCAUUGGAAAGAUGUUUAAUUCAUAUAGUAUAACCCAGAUAUCGACUGUGGUCUCAGGACCUCUCGAGAUCUAGAUAAGCUUAAUUCUAACCUUUUCCCAUUGAUUGUAGAAGUCCACAGACUUGGCAAGAUUCCUCUGAACUCCUGACAGUUUUUCAUGAUCAACUUCCCACUAAAUUCGUUUCUUUGCUCAGUUUUGUUCUCCUCUCUGCAGCUUGUGGCUGUUCUCUAUUUCUGCAGUUCCUUCGACCCAAACCAGGGGCCCAGCACUUCCUCCUGUUUUCUCAGUCCCUCUGAUGUGACGAUGAAAGCAAAUGGUUGCAUGUACCAGAACUUUGGCUGCAACUAUUUGAAAUCCAUGUUCGUCCUGAGAAAUUCUCACUUCCUGCAGCACCCGCAGUAGCCCUGUUCCUUCUCUCUGUCUGACUCCUCUUGCUCUUCCCUUUCCUUUCCUGUUCUCUCUUUUUUGUUUUUCCCCUCCUUCUUAGGAACAAAUAACUAACAUUUGCAAUAGCUUCACUAACUUUUUUGGUUUGUUUGUUUUUUACAUGUAUUGUUAGAGUUUCACUUUCUGCCCCCAGAAGCAGCAUUUCUGUGGGGAAGCAGAGCACUGAAGGGAGCCAAACUGCUUGGGUUCCAGUCCCUAUGCUACCUUGUCCUAUACGUAUGACUCUGGGCAAGUCACUUCACUUCUCUGCGCCUCAGUUUCCUGUUCUGUAAAAAGCAAACAAAAAUAUUCAUAGGACUGUAAAGAGGAUUAAAUGAGUUAAUAAUAUAUGUGCCAUCGGUGGAGUAGUGGAUAAACAAAUUGUAGUAUAUCCAUACAGUGGAAUACUAUUCAGCUAUGAAAAAGGAAUGCAGUACUGAUAUCUGCUGUAACUUGAAUGACCCUCAAAAACAUUACACUAAGUGAAAGAAGUCAGACAAAAAUGUUACAUAUCAUAUGAUUCCUUUCCUAAGAUAUAUCCAGAAUAGGUAAAUCCACAGAAACAGAAAACAGAUUAAUGGUUACCAGGGGACAAAGGGAGGGGCAAUGGAGAGUGACUGCUUGAUUGUACAGGAUGUUCUUCUGAGAUGAUGAAAAAGUUUUGAAACUAGAAAGAGGUGAUAGUUGUACAACAUUUGUGAAUGCACUAAAUGCCCCUGAAUUGUACAUUUUAAAAUGGUUAAUCGUAUGCUACAUGAAUCUCACCCUUUAAAAUAAAUAAAUGUAAAGCAUUUUGUGUAUUUCCUGGUAUACAGUAAAUAAUCAAAAUAUUAUUACUACCCAUCACCCCCUCUACCCAGCAUAGAAGAUUAUUAAUCUCAGCUGUUUUCAAAAUAAGAGAAAAAAAUCAUUAAAUAGCAAGCAGUAUGAGGGAGUCUCAGGCCCCAGGGAGAGAAUUUUCCUGAGGCAUUCCCACUAUACGACUGCUAAGAUAGUAACAUUUCAUCUCGUUGCAAGGAGAACAAAUGGGAACCUGGGUCAUGCAGUAAAAUUAGUAGUUCUUGGAGAGUCUUUCGUCUCAUUAAUGUGGCUCCAGGAAUUGGAAGUUGGAAAACUAUUCCACUGUUUAAAUAUCUCUGGCAUCCACAACCUUACUUCCAUCCUUGUUUAGUGUCUUAGCCACACAGGCUUGCUCUACCAUGCUGCCUCCCCCAAAUCAGGCUCAUUAGAGCUUCGUCCCCCAAAUCAGGCUCAUUAGAAAGACUGGACUCUGUCACGGGGAGGUCUUCAGACAUCACCAAAAUCUCAUCGAGGCCCUUCUGUGGGGACUGCAUCUUGUUCAAGAUGCUCAGACCAGCCAGUCAUGUGCCCCAGCUGAAUGCAACUGCAGCCUUUCUAAUUGCUGUUGCUAAAUAUAUAGGAUGCCCUGUAUGAUGCAAGUAGCACAUCUUCAUCACCACGGUGACCGGGCAACUUCUGUCUCCAAACACGUUCCUUUGCAGCAUAUGUCUACCAGGUACUGAAGGGAGCCAGUGAAGCUGUGAGUCUGGCAAAGGACGGUCUCAUCCCCUAGUCUCUGGUUCUUAGAUCUGAGUGGUCUGUGCUCUACUCUUUGACUGUAUGAGGCAAUUUUGAGAGACCCUCUUUGUCAACACCAAACUCACGAAUUUCCAUCACCUAAAACUGGUUCAGGAAAAAAGCACCCAAGAGAAGGAGGCUCUAAAGGUGACAGCUGGGAAUCUGGGGUAAGUCAGAGGAUGCAGGAUUCACCGGGUCAUCCAGAAGGUGCAGACUCAGUGUUGACAGAACCAAUUCCAGAAGCAUCCACCGGAAUCCCUUUUUUGGGAGAUUCUCUUCAAGGAUGGAGCUAAAAAAUAUAGGUGCCUCAAGAGAGCCUCUUGCUUCUAAGGAUAUUGUAAGGUAAGCCAUUUCCCCUCCGUUUCCCAUUUGGGGCAGGGACAGACAGAAAGCCAGUGGGUAUGGGAAGCUGGCAGGGGCUGUCCCACUUGCAACAACCACAGCUUGCUCUCUCAGGACUUCGGGACUCUUGCAUCCCUCCAGGACUACCAAGGCAGUACGCUGAUUUUCACUUGAGUGCCUCUGGGCCUCUUUUUAACACGACCACUUUUUAUUAACACCACUCCCCGCCGGCCCUUCUCGGGUACCAGUCAGUGCUGCUCUCAGCUCACAGUGGAGAUUCACUGCCUCAACCUGACACCCAGGAGUAUGGAACUGCCUUCAGAGUUUCCAAGUUGCUGACUAGGAAACCCAGCUCACAAAUUGGAGCCGUUUUCCUCAGGUCACCCCUUGGGUCCCACAACUCACAGAGCCAGGGAUUUGACGAGCCUUUUUCUUGUGACUUAGAACAGCAUUCUUCAACUCUUCCUGAGGCAUUGGGGCUACCUGUGAUGAUGGGGCACAGGGCGUCCCCUAUGCAAUUCAAGUGCAGACUCCCAAUUUUAUCUGUUUUACAGGUUAAAAAAUCCACGUGAGAUUUCCUUUGAAGAAAAGUUUCAGAGGCCAAAGAGAUGAGGAAAAUCACUUCUUUGGACAUAACGAUCUUUUAAAAAAACAGGGGCCCAGGAAUCAAGGACCUGGACUCCAGGCAGCAGCCAAGUGCGUGAGACUCCCUGGAAACAGAUCCCUUGGAGCCGUCAGGGACUGUAGCCUCAUGAGAGACCCUGAGCUGGACCACUCAGCUAAGUAAGGUGCUGUGGGUUUAUGACCCUCAGAAAUCCUGUGAUGUAAUAUGUUUUUGUAGUUUUAAGCCGCUAAAUUUUGGGGUAACUAAUUGCACAGCAGUAGGUAACUGAUACACUCUCUAAUCCUCCCCUCCACUGGCCUGAGCUCUGCCGGCCUCCCUAGUCCCAUCCCGCCCCGCUCUCUCUCCCUCUCCCCCUCCUCUCUCCACGCUCCAGCCACAUUGAUGUUUUGGUGUCUCUUCCCUCAAGACUCCAUUCCUGGGACGCUCUGCCACCCCCACCUCCCCAGGCCAAUCUCACCCUCAGUUAAUCUCACUUGUCCUGCUGGUUGGCUCCAAUGUUGGGUCUCCAAGGAAGACCCUUGAUGAUUAGGGUAGGUUGCCCAGAUAUGCCCUCCUUUGAUUCAAAUUACCCAUCAUAAUUGCAACGUAUUGUCAUGCUUGUUUAACAUGUCUCCCCCUAUGAGGAUGGAAGCUCCCUGAGGGUGGGACUGUGUCUGUCUUGUUCACCCCUGUAUCCCCAGUGGCAUGAGGCCUGGGAUCCUGUGUGUGUGAUGAAUAGAUGGAGAGAUGCAUGAAUUUCCUCUCAAGAAAGAGUGUAUGGAGGAAGGUUUGGGAACAGAGCAUUUCCUGGAGGUCUCCAAGAAAUUGUCCUACUUCUGAACAGAAGGGGACAUGGGUUCGAGCCCUGGUCUGGGAAGAUCCCACAUGCUGCAGAGC